rnacentral:rRNA from 1 species
GAUGAACGCUAGCUACAGACUUAACACAUGCAAGUCGCGGGACCGGCGAACGUGUGAGUAACGCGUAUCCAACCUGCCCUUCACCACGGGAUAACCCGGGGAAAGUCGGACUAGUACAGUAUGGUGAAGGAUGGGGCUGCAUCCGAUUAGCUUGACGGGGGGGUAACGGCCCACCGUGGCUACGAUCGGUAGGGGUUCUGAGAGGAAGGUCCCCCACACUGGAACUGGGACACGGUCCAGACUCCUACGGGAGGCAGCAGUGAGGAAUAUUGGUCAAUGGGCGUAAGCCUGAACCAGCCAAGUAGCGUGCAGGACGACGGCCUAUGGGUUGUAAACUGCUUUUAUGCGGGGAUAGGUACCGCAUGAAUAAGGACCGGCUAAUUCCGUGCCAGCAGCCGCGGUAAUAC